rnacentral:rRNA from 1 species
GUGCCAGCAGCCGCGGUAAUACCGGCAGCUCGAGUGAUGUCCAAUAUUAUUGGGCCUAAAGCGUCCGUAGCUGGCCAGCCAAGUUCGUCGGGAAAUCCACCUGCUCAACAGGUGGGCGUCCGGCGAAAACUGUCUGGCUUGGAACCGGAAGGCUCAGAGGGUACGUCGAGGGUAGGAGUGAAAUCCCGUAAUCCUCGACGGACCACCGAUGGCGAAAGCACUCUGAGAAGACGGCUUCGACAGUGAGGGACGAAAGCUAGGGUCUCAAACCGGAUUAGAAACCCCAGUAGUC